rnacentral:rRNA from 1 species
UCAGUAACACGUAGUCAACAUGCCCAGGGGACGUGGAUAACCUCGGGAAACUGAGGAUAAACCGCGAUAAGUCACUACUUCUGGAAUGGGUAAUGACUCAAAUCUAUAUGGCCCCUGGAUUGGACUGCGGCCGAUCAGGCUGUUGGUGAGGUAAUGGCCCACCAAACCUGUAACCGGUACGGGCUCUGAGAGGAGGAGCCCGGAGAUGGGCACUGAGACAAGGGCCCAGGCCCUAUGGGGCGCAGCAGGCGCGAAACCUCUGCAAUAGGCGAAAGCUUGACAGGGUUACUCUGAGUGAUUUCCGUUAAGGAGAUCUUUUGGCACCUCUAAAAAUGGUGCAGAAUAAGGGGUGGGCAAGUCUGGUGCCAGC